UACGUAGGGGGCGAGCGUUGUCCGAAGUUACUGGGCGUAAAGAGUACGUAGGUGGCUUGUUAAGAUACAUCUAAAGGUGACAGCUCAACUGUCAAUGGUGGUGUAAGACUGGCAGGCUUGAGGCAAGCAGAAGAGUGUGGAACUCCGAGUGUAGCGGUGGAAUGCGUAGAGAUUCGGAAGAACACCCAUGGCGAAGGCAGCACUCUGGGCUUGAACCGCAAGGUGAACCUGACACUGAGGUACGAAAGCCAGGGGAGCGAACGGG
rnacentral:rRNA from 1 species